AAGUGGGGACGACCCCACCGCUCCAUGACGCAUCGGGGACGGCCCCA
rnacentral:ncRNA from 1 species